rnacentral:tRNA from 1 species
GUCGCGAUAGCUCAGCAGGUAGAGCGCCCGGUUGAAGGCCGGGGCGUCGUUGGUUCGAUUCCAACUCGCGGCA